rnacentral:rRNA from 1 species
AACGAACGCUGGCGGCAUGCCUAACACAUGCAAGUCGAACGAUGCCUUCGGGCUUAGUGGCUCACGGGUGCGUAACGCGUGGGAAUCUGCCCUUGGCUUCGGAAUAACAGUUAGAAAUGACUGCUAAUACCGGAUGAUGUCCCCCUGAGAGAUCUUGGGGACCAAAGAUUUAUCGGCCAGGGAUGAGCCCGCGUAGGAUUAGGUAGUUGGUGAGGUAAAGGCCUACCAAGCCGACGAUCCUUAGCUGGUCUGAGAGGAUGAUCAGCCACACUGGGACUGAGACACGGACCAGACUCCUACGGGAGGCAGCAGUGGGGAAUAUUGGACAAUGGGGGGAACCGUGAUCCAGCAAUGCCGCGUGAGUGAUGAAGGCCUUAGGGUUGUAAAGCUCUUUUACAAGGGAUGAUAAUGACAGUACCUGGAGAAUAAGCUCCGGCUAACUCCGUG